CCUCCCAUUGGCCGGCGCGCCGCCCGCCAUGGAGACGGAGGGACGCGCGAGCGCCCGGCCGUGAGGGGGUGAAGCGUCGCCUCCAUCGCCCCGGGAAUUCCCUUUGCCCAGCCUCCCCCGGCCUUCCAGAGCCUUUCCCCGCCUCAACAGGAGAACCAGGCUUUAUUUAGUUUAUUUAGUGCCAGCACCCGUCCCAUAAAAAGCACCGUUAGUGAAAUUCGGGAGACCUAAGAGGUGAGGCUCAGAGCAUUGUAACCCAAUCAGGAGGGGGAAACAUGAGGUAAAAAGUGGUUCUGGGGUCAGCUGGUAAGCAGUGGAAUGCCUCUGUGUUUUAUUUUAUGUGCUGUUGUAUCGAUUUAACGAGCUGUGAGAAAUUAAGCUAGGUUCUCCCUAGGUUUGUCAGGAGAGCAGCGCGGUUCAGGAGAAGCAAGGAUGUGACAGACCCAAAGAAGUACCUUAAAAUAGCCCAUGCAGUCUGCACGUGUAAAAUCAUGCACAGUCGAGAGAGACACACACAAAAAACCCCAAACCCUACUCGGUUUUCAGGACUUAAAUUAUUCACAUCCAUGAAAAACAAGACCUAUGGCAGCCCUGCAGACAACUUGCUGUGUAGCUGUGUCAGUAAACCCAUCAGGACACACAUGGAAGGCUCUACCAAGAACUGGAUAGACACAAAUGAUACACUGCAGAUAAAACAUGAUCCGUUACAAGCAGAUAAAACUAAGAGGGAAGUAGUUUCAUCUUUGUUUUUCAGUUGUGUUUCUUGCUAACGCCUGUUUACUAAAA